GCUGGUCUUGAACUCCUGACCUCAGAUGAUCCACCCCGCCUUGGCCUCCAAAAGUACUGAGAAUACAGUUGUGAGCCACUGCGCCCGGCACUGGUCAGAUUUUUGGGUGACGUUUAGUUGGGUAUUCCAGGAUGCAAUCAUUAUAUAUUAUAGUUUUUAGUAUUUUGGAAAGAAACAUGACUAAAAAGAGAAAUUGAACCAACAUUUUCAGAGAGUAUAAUGGAUAUAUAUUAAUUAGGCCACUGAAGCAACAGGCCUCGAUAUUGUUAAGUGUCUUUCUCCUUCCCUGUGCACACAAAUAAGUUUCUACUUCCUCCUUUUAGGUUUCCUGAUCAUGCCUGGCUACACUUAACAUUCUUUGAAGUAGGGGGGAAGGGAAAAGGGAGAGGAAGCAGUGGGGAAAUCUGCAGAUUCUACUGUGUUUUUUAGCUAGCUGGGAAGAAGGAGGAGAAAAUAAAUUAUUGCUUCUUAAAGGUACUUUUAAUAGUUUUUUGUUACGCCAGGCACGGUGGCUCAUGCCUGUAAUCCCAGCACUUUGAGAAGCCGAAGCGGGCGGAUCAUGAGGUCAGGAGUUCGAGACCACCCUGGCCAACAUGGUGAAAUGCAGUCUCUACUAAAAAUACAAAAAAAAAUUAACCGGCGUGGUGGCGGGCGCCUGUAAUCCCAGCUACUUUGGAGGCUGAAGCAGGAGAAUCGCUUGAACCUGGGAGGCAGAGGUUUCAGUGAGCCGAGACCGCGCCACUGCACUCUAGCCUGGGCAACAGAGCGUGACUACAUCUCAAAAAAAAAUAGUUUUUUUUUUGUUGUUACUAUAAUCUCUGUGGUAUUGUUGCUUUACUUUGGAGUAUGAUUAUAGAAGUUCAAAAAAACUUUCCAUUAAAUUUUGAUAACAGUUUUGAUCACAUUCACAUAAAAAUUUUGAUAAUGAAAUGAAAUAUUUAGCUUUUAGCAUGAUUUUGAAAUCAUUUUAUCAUGGAUUUUGGCUACUGGCCGUGCACACACCUACAGUUUUCAGGUUGGGGUUGCUUCAUAGAGAAUGUGGAAGAGAUUAUUUCUUACCUGAAAGUUGUACAUGAUUCAUACCAACUAACCUGGCUUGGUCUGGCUUGUUAGUCCAGUAUUUUUAGGCAUCACAUUCCUCUUUGCUUUUAAAUGUAAUAAAGAAAUAAAACAAAGGUCACUAGUUAAAACCGUUAGAGAUUUGAUACGGAAUGUGGUUGUCCAAAAUUAUACCGCAUGUUUAUCUUACAGUAUAUUAAAAUUCAUUGUAGUAAUGAGGUGUUUUCCCUAAAAUAAGGUAGAAUCAUAAAUCCUAGACCUGAAGGAAUGAUUCCAUUAGAAGUUCUGGAUCCCAGCUACUCUGGAGGCUGAGGCAAGAGAAUCACUUGAACCCAGGAGGUGGAGGUUGCAGUGAGCCGAGAUCACACCAUUGCACUCCAGCCUGGGCAAUAAGAGUGAAACUCUGUCUCAAAAAAAAAGUUCUGUAUCAUAAUGAGCUGAUAAAGUUUGGAGAUAAGACUGUUAAUACUACAGUUCUAUCAUUGUAGAGUAUGGACAUUGAACUACAGUACUUUACUAAAUACUAAAUACAGUACUGUUGUGCUGUGAAUUGCUGGUUGAAGGGAAUGGGUAGAACAAACCUGAGUAUUUUCUUAGUACCUGGACUAAAGAUUGCUUAAAGACUUAACCAGAGAAGACUCACACAUUGUCUAGUAAAUGAAUGUGUCUGGACUGUGCCAGAUUGUUUAUCUAUUUCUGUAGUCUUUCAAUGAUAGUUUUUCCAGUUUGAAUCCAUUUUAACCCAUAUUUCUUUCAUCAUUGAUCAUAUAAAUUUAUUGGCUGUGGUUUCUGAAUAUCCCUAAGGUAAUUGUUGCUCAACACAUCUGUUUUACUAAAAAUAGCUCAAACAGUUGCCUAGGGUAAGUUUGCAGUAGUUUAGGGAGUAGAGUGUACCAGAGACAUGUAUUUUUUUUUUCUCCUAAAUUUGUGUUACUGUCCUAUGGCAUUUGGAAUUGCUUCACAACCAGGAUGGAAUAAUGCAAAUAAGGUGAAAUUUUAGCCAUUAGUCAGCCAAGGUGAACAAUUUAACCAGUUGUUUGGUCGUUACUAGACAAAUGUUGUAAUUUGUUGAAUUAAAUAUUUGACAUAAGUGGUCCACUGACAAAGUUUGAAAUCUUGUUGAUAGAGGUUUGUUUAUAAGCAGAUUUAUUUCUCAGGGUAAUAUGAUAUUACUAGUAGUUUACAGAAAGAAGUAAACAGAACUUCCUGUUACAGUGCUUUGUAUGGUGGAGAAGGGACUUGCUUUUUCAAACUUUACCUUCACUUCAGCUUAUAGUACAGACAGAUCACUUUAGAUUGUUUUAAAAAUGUAACAUUUCUAUAGUGUGAAUGAGAAUUUGACCUGGUACAGUAUUUAUUAGUAUACUUCCGUAAUUAUUUUUGUCCUACAGUUCCUUUCAGAUUUGUCAUUUUCGUGGUAUCAUGUCACUGCUCUAGCAUUACUUUUUACCAAUUUCACGGCUCCCUGCUAGUUGUUUAAUGAUUUUUUAAAGUUGAUAAAAGUCUUGUAAGUAAUGAUCUUUAUCUUAUUGUCAAGAAGUUUAUAAUCUAUGAUAAGAACUGACAUAAAAAAUGACUUCCUUGAAGUAGACUGGAUUUAAGGAGCCUGAAGUAAAAACUUCCGAAAUACAAAGAUAGGAGAAGUCAAUAAAGACUGAAAUGGUUAAAGAAGGAAAGUCAUGUACUCUACUUGUUGCUGAUAGUUAUUUUUCUCUCAGAAAGUAGAAGUGAUAUUCAAUAAGGUACAAAAUUAUUUUUCUUUGUUUGGCUCUGGGAAGACACUUUGUAGCUAUAAUACUAAGGUCUAGAAGUCCCCUAAGCAUUAAAUAAAAGAGUUAGACUAAAUGACCUUUGUAGCAGUGAGUACACUAGCUCUGUGAACUUGUUAAAGGUGAAAAAACAGCCUUCUCUGGUCAACAUUAAACGAAUCAAGCCCUAAUUAUUUUAGUCUUUAGGAUAAGAGGCAUUCAACUAAAGCUAGGUUUAUCUUAAAAGAACUUUUCAGUUAGAGUGCCAGAUGCAAAUCAGAUGUUCUGCAGAAUUGGAAAACCAGGAUCAUUUAGAUUAAUGGUACUUACUCAGCACUUUCUAUUCUCUUUUUCUUUUUCCUUUUCUUUCUUUUUUUUUUUUUUUUUUGAGAUGAAGUCUCACUCUGUCACCCAGGCUGGAGUGAUCUCAGCUCACUGCAACCUCCAUCUCCCUGGUUCAAGUGAUUCUCCCACAUCAGCCUCCUCAGUAGCUGGGACUACAGGUGCGAGCCACCACGCCCGGCUAAUUUUUUGUGUUUUUAGUAGAGACAGGGUUUCACCAGUGUUGGCCAGGAUGUUCUCGAACUCCUAACCUCAAGUAAUCCUCCCACCUCGGCCUCCCAACGUGUUCGGAUUACAGGUGUAAGCCACUGCGCCUGGCUACUCUCUUUUUCUAUAUCUGUUUCUGGAUUAUAUUUUGACAGGCGUCGAACACAUUCCCAGUUACUCCCUGACUUUUCAUAUGCAUCUCCCUUUUCCAUUUCACUUUGCCUUCAUUUUAACAUUUGAUUAAAAUUUAGAGGUGCCUUGUUGACAUAAAAUCAGUAAAAUGAGAACAGUUGUGGCAUAUAUACUGUGCCAAAAGUAUUAAAAAUACAUAACUAUGAACUGACUACUGGUAGAUUAUUGGCUUGGUAGGAUGAGCAUCCAUGGGCAGGCAAAGCCUGGGGGUGGUCUAGGAGACGAGGCCAGAACAGGAAACAGCUAUUUUGUAAUAUUUGGCUUUAUUCCAUUUCAAGUCAAAAGUGACAGCUUGCAAUAGUAGAGCUAAGCUGAAGCCUCGAUAGUAGGAUGGACAACAAGAAAAGAGGAACCAGCAGCUAAAGCAGAGUCAAUAUACUUCCUUGUUUUUUAAAAAUUAUUUUUAAUAUAAAGUUGCCAUAUCAUGUUUUAAUAUUCAGUAAUUUUGCUCUGUAUUCUAUUUAAAUAUUCUAUUACCUACCUAUAUGAUUUUAUAUAGCUAUAAUUUCAAAAAUAGUAAUGAAACAUGCUUAUUAAGGUCCCAUAAAUUACCCCAGUACAUAUCUGUUGCUAUUUAAAAAAGGAGCUCUUCAUUUGUAAAAAUUGGUUGCGAAACUUGAUGUGUUGAAAAUGUAUCCUUGGAGUUUAGGAACAUGUUAUUUUGACUGAAAUUUGGCCCAAGUAUGAGCUAUUCUGCAAUAUUCAGAUUAAAAACAUUUAUAAGUCACUGCAGUAGUUCUUUCCUGGUCCCAAAUCUGCUGUGAUCAUAUGCUGAAAAAUCUGCCAGUCUCCUUUUAAAUUUUCAUAGCUGCUGCUAUGAAUUUAAAGUAUGUGAAAUUAUGCUUGUAGACUCUAAGCCAUCACUAGUUACCAUUGAGAAAGAUUUUCUGGUUUCUUUUUUCCAAUCAAAAUAAGAUCAUAGGAUUGAUUUAUUCUUUUUCUUAAUUGCAUAAUCUUACUGAAGCAUGUCAUAUUAUUUAAAAUCUCAGAAUUAGAGUUUUAUUCCUCAGUAUAAUAGUAAUAUUUUACUAGAAUUAGAAUUUAAUUUUGGGAAUUUGAUCAUUCCCAAAAUAUUUUCAUGUGCAUUAUUUUAUUUCCAAUGUUAGCUUUAUGAGGAAAAUAGAUUGUAUUCUCUUAUUUUGUGUAAUGCUUUCAGGAUAUAUAUUAAUUUAUUAAUCCACACAACUGUUUGAGAAGUCUAACUUACAGAUGAGAAGGAAGCAAAAAUAGAAACGAUGUAAAGUAGAUUAAGUUUUAAAAGGGUGUGAGUAUUGUGAUGAUAUAGCAGGCAAUGUCAUGGUACAUCCAUUUCAAGAAAGUACAGCUGAACUUUACUCAGACUGGAAUUGGGAACUAGAAAGUUAGGAACUCAAGUCACAUAUUCCCUUUAAACCCUCUCCAGAAUCUCCUUUUUUUGACGGGUUUAUUCUGCUAACUCAUAGAUACUGCUUCUCAUAACACUAGUUUUCAUUUGACUUACGUGUGUCAGUAUCAAUUCACCUACCUGUCCCCGCUCCUUUACAAGACCUUUUAAAUCUAAUAUUUAUGUUUUCUACUAAAAUUACAGAUAGAUGGCAUAGGGGAAUGAAACGUUGAAAAGAAGAAAUAAAUAUAAGGAAGAGAAUAUAUGGUAGUAAUUUUCUGUGGUAGGCAGAGAAAGUGAGGUUUAGCUCAGCUGUGACUUGGCAUCUAGGUUCACACAGCUUGUGAUAGUCAAAAAAGAACCUGUGUUGGGUAUGGUGGAUCACAACUGUAAUCCUAGCACUUUGGGAGGCCGAGGUGGGAGGAUUGCUUGAGCUCAGGCAUUUGAGACUGGGUAACAUGGGAGAACCCCUGUCUACAAAAAAAUAAAAUUAGCAGGGCAUGGUGGUGCACGUGUAUAGUCCCAGCUACUGGGGAGGCUAAGGCAGGAGGAUCGCUUGAGCCCAGGAGGUUGAGGCUACAGUGAGCCAUGGUCUCGCCACUGCACUUGAGCCUGGGUGACAGAGGGAGACCCUAUCUCAUAAAAAAAAAAGGGGGGGAGCUAUGCUGCAUAGUGGCACACACCUGUAAUCUCAGCACUUUGGGAGGCUCAGGCAGGCAGAUCACUUGAGCUCAGGAGCUCGAGACCAGCCUGAGCAGCAUGGCAAAACUCCAUCUCUACCAGUACCAAAAACAAAACAAAAAACAAAAAAAACUUUUGCGGGACACCUGUAGUCCCAACUACUUGGGAGGCGGGGAUGGGAGGAUUGCUUGAGCCCAGGAGGUCAAGGCUGCAAUGAGCUGAGAUCCUGCCAUUGCAAUCUAGCCUGGGUGACAAAGUGAGACUCUUGUCUCAAAAAAAACCUGAACUCAAAAUUUUAGAGUAUAAGAUAUUAUUUCUGUUACACUGCCUGCCUUUGUGAGCCAUCCAGUGUGAAGUGUCUCCUAUUUACAUAUCAUUCUCUUUUGUGUGGCACUUUAUUUUUCUUAUAGUUAAUAUCUUUCCUAAAUAAAAGACUAAGUUUUUCCUGAAUUUUAUUGCCUGUACAAUUUCACCUAGAUUUUGCGUACACUGGCAUCAAGCUACACUCCAAAUCUGUGCAUUAUUUUCAGAUUCAUUUGUUCCCUCGGCAGGUAAUCCAUAUUAAGAUGUUUUCUAGUCUCUUUUUUUUCAGCUGUCUAGUUUUGUUUUGCUGUUUUUUGUUUGUUUGUUUGUUUGUUUUUUUGGUUGUGCAUAUGGGUAUUCUGAAUACCUAGAUUUGCUCAAAGCUAAAAUUCAAAAAUAAAAUACUUUAAAAUGAA